UGUCUCUUUGAUUGAUGAAAAGUAUAAGGAGUCUGGCCUGCCCAGUGAUGAAUAUUAUUUAACGGCCGCAGUACCCUGACUGUGCAAAGGUAGCAUAAUCAUUUGCCUCAUAAUUGGGGGCUAGAAUGAAUGGUUUGACAUGAGUAAAGCUGUCUCUGUAAGGUUCUAUAGAAUUUAGUAUUUAGGUGAAGAAACCUGUAUGAUGCCAAAAGACGAGAAGACCCUAUCGAGCUUAAAAAAGAUUAAAGUUGUGUUAUAAUUAAAUUUUUAGUUGGGGCGACUAAGGAACAUGAAAAGCUUCCUUGAGAGUUAGAGUAUUAUGGUUAUAAGAUCCACUAAGAUAGUGAUAAGAAGAAAAGCUACCGUAGGGAUAACAGCGUGAUUUUCUCUGAGAGUUCUUAUUAAAGAGAGAGUUUGCGACCUCGAUGUUGGACUAGAAUUUCCGAAAGAUGUAGAAGUCUUUGAGGGUUGGUCUGUU
rnacentral:rRNA from 1 species